AGUCCAAAUAGAGGAGGAGGGUUGGUGCGUCAGGUCAGCAGUCGGCACUAGAAAAACCCCAGCCUUGAUGCGUCAGGUCAACAGCCGGCAUUAGAAAAAACCCUAGCCAAACCCUUUUUACAUGGAUUCUAGAACAUUAUAUUAUCAAGGUUAUUCUAGGGCGUUCCCCGCCAAAAUAAGUGACGAGCUACAC